rnacentral:rRNA from 1 species
GACGAACGCUGGCGGCGUGCCUAAUACAUGCAAGUCGAGCGGACCGACGGGAGCUUGCUCCCUUAGGUCAGCGGCGGACGGGUGAGUAACACGUGGGUAACCUGCCUGUAAGACUGGGAUAACUCCGGGAAACCGGGGCUAAUACCGGAUGCUUGAUUGAGCCGCAUGGUUCAAUUAUAAAAGGUGGCUUUCAGCUACCACUUACAGAUGGACCCGCGGCGCAUUAGCUAGUUGGUGAGGUAACGGCUCACCAAGGCGACGAUGCGUAGCCGACCUGAGAGGGUGAUCGGCCACACUGGGACUGAGACACGGCCCAGACUCCUACGGGAGGCAGCAGUAGGGAAUCUUCCGCAAUGGACGAAAGUCUGACGGAGCAACGCCGCGUGAGUGAUGAAGGUUUUCGGAUCGUAAAACUCUGUUGUUAGGGAAGAACAAGUACCGUUCGAAUAGGGCGGCACCUUGACGGUACCUAACCAGAAAGCCACGGCUAACUACGUGCCAGCAGCCGCGGUAAUACGUAGGUGGCAAGCGUUGUCCGGAAUUAUUGGGCGUAAAGCGCGCGCAGGCGGUUUCUUAAGUCUGAUGUGAAAGCCCCCGGCUCAACCGGGGAGGGUCAUUGGAAACUGGGGAACUUGAGUGCAGAAGAGGAGAGUGGAAUUCCACGUGUAGCGGUGAAAUGCGUAGAGAUGUGGAGGAACACCAGUGGCGAAGGCGACUCUCUGGUC